rnacentral:lncRNA from 1 species
CAACCAGUUACACCCGGAAGUGUUCUGGGGUCGCCCCCACGGCGGCGCGGCGGAGCUCAGCCUCGAUCUCGCGAAACCGAGCGAGACUACGGAAGGCCGAAGGAUUGGGCUCAGCAUUGCUUGGGCUAAAGGCUGACUAGGGCUUCCAGGAAGUGAUGUAUGUGAGAAGUUUGCUUUUUAAAGUGUACGUGGGAUCGUUAUUACGUCGAAAUAGCUCGAGCUGUAACCUAGGGCUUGAGUGCAGUGGCACGAUCUUGGCUCACUGCAACCUCCACCUCCCGAGUUCAAGCGAUUCUCCUGCCUCACCCUCCUGAGUAGCUGGGACUACAGGCCUGCGCCACCACACCUGGCUAACUUCUGAAUAUCAAGCUGAAAUUACUAUCAGAUAUCUUGCCACCACAUAGAGGCUUUGAGUGAAGUCUGCAUGGAGGAGAACAGAGCUGAGAGAUGGAAAGAUACUGAAUCCCAGUGACGUCCUUUGAGAUGUCGGAUCAAGCUGAGCUGGGCAUGAAGAUAGAGCUACUCCUAUACUUUUAAGAUACCAAUAACAAGCAAGAUUCAGAAGUCCAACAAGUAAGACAUUGAUUUCAUUAAGAGAGAACUAGUAAGCAAGCUAUUUGGGAAGUACACUCUCAUAAGAAUAUUGUUUCAUGAAGUCUUGAGCAACAAAGGAAAUAGUCCAUGAAGUGCACUGCUGUCAGACUCCCUCUAAGAAUACUUCAACUGCUCAUGAAGCGGGGGGCCUUAACUAUUUACUUCUUUUGGAAGCCUCCAUCUGGCCCAUCUAUCUUUAUUCUCCCAGGAUCACAGGAUGAAGUACAGCUUGGCUGACCCAGUUCUUGGGAUGGGAGGAUUAAUGAACUCUCUAAACCAAACUUUUGGAGGAAAAGAACUUCAGAGGAGUUGGACAUCAAAACUUCACGAUUCCCACUCUUGCAUCAUUUACCACCUAACUGCUGGAAGUAUCAGCCUACUCAUCGUUAUUGGCAUCACCUGGAAGCUAGCUAGAACUGGAGACUCUUAUGUCUUACCCCAGACCUACUCAAUCAGAAAUCUUCUUUUUAACAAGGUCUCCAGGUGCUUUGCACAUUAAAGCUUGCACACCCAAGGCCAUGUGCAACUUAUAUUCAUCUUGCUGUUGCAGGCUUAGCUUCUGACAGGUAAAGCUGAACUGGUGUCACCCAUUCCAUGUUCCUGCCUCUGUGUCUUUGAGCCUUCCUGCCUCCCAGAAUGUACUCUCCCUGAUAUAGUUUGCCUCUGUGU